GGCCUGGUGGCCUAAUGGUAAGGCGUUGCUUUCCGGCUCGGUUCUGCACCACGAUUCCGUGGCAAGGUUCCUAUUCCUGUCUGGCAAAGAUUGCGGGUUCGAGUCCCGUCUGGGUCG